UUUUUUUUUUUUUUUUGGUUUUUCGAGACAGGGUUUCUCUGUGGUUUUGGAGCCUGUCCUGGAACUAGCUCUUGUAGACCAGGCUGGUCUCGAACUCACAGAGAUCCGCCUGCCUUUGCCUCCCAAGUGCUGGGAUUUAAAGGCCUGCGCCACCACCGCCCGGCGUAUUUAUCUAUCUUGAACUACAGAAAAAAAUAAACCAACAUAAAAAGUUACUACAAAAUAAAAAUUUACAAAAAAAAGAACGUUAUGAAUUACCUGCUUCACAUCCUGGACUCCCUGAGACUGGAAAGGAAGCCUGGUGUUGUUUCCUUCGCCCCUGCUCCGUGUUUUCAUACUCACUUGUAUGUCUUUAACGAAAUGGGCUUCUUCAACUGGCUGAUGUGGGCUUGUUGAUUCCGAAUAAGGAGUGUCUGAGCUUGCUGAGUCUCCACUGAAGGUCAAACCCAUCACUUUCCCAUUCACUACGAGCCAGGCUCUGAGCUCUUCAUUCAAUCCGCUUGCCUCCCAGUUGCCAACCCCUGAGCUGCUAGAAACACAAAAUGCAAAUUUUUGGCCAUAAUCAUCCACAUAAACCCAGUCAAUCCCAGCAGUGAAAUCCAGAGGCAAGUGGGAAUUUUUACAAAUUGCCUAGUUUGCAGAUUUACCCGUGAAGAUCCCCUUCACCCUUACUGAGGACCACAGCAGCUGUAGGCCAGACAGCCUAGCCUGAUGGGCAGAAAGUUAGACAUGCCGAAAUUCAGCCUCCGCUCUACCUGUGGUGUAAGUCCAUCCCCUAAGCUUUUGUUUCCUUAUUGGUAAAACUGAAAGGAUGCACGCAAAGAGCUGGACAUGCUGCCCAGGACAUGGGGCAGAUGCAAAUAUAAGAGCUACUGGCAGCAGAAACUCUCGAAUUCCUUACAAGGAGAUACUGUGCUCAGCCUCUUCUUAAUAAGAGACAGAGAGGACGAAAUUCUCUUCCAUCUCUCUGCUUCUGACCUGUGAAGAGAGUAUAGAAAGUGCUCCUAUCCAAGUGACAAGUAAUAGUUAAAAUAUUUGAUAAUCCCGCGAGCCACCCCGUAAAUCAGACCUCCCACUUGGGAGCUGAUUCUUGAAACAGCACAGCUGUCUCCAGAGGGCUUCGUAUGAGGAACCUCUGGAAACUAGGCCAGGCCAGGUGGAUUGUCCAACACGUAAAGCAACUGCUGGAAGCCUGCCAGAGCUGCUGAUCAGAAGAAUGAGGGAAGCCUGGGAUGUAGGAGGAGUAAGCAGGGAGUGGGGCAAGCACCAUUUAACUCAGCUCAACACCUCAGAGGCUCAAGACUCCUGCCCCACUGCUCAUCACCAGCAGCCUGACUUUCCAAAGGAAUCUCUUUCCAAAAGCUUUAAGAGAAGCUGGCUUUGGGAACCGGAAAUGCAGGUUCUUCCAGAAGGUGCUGCAAAGAGUUGUUUGGAUUUUCUAAUCAGAUCCCAAAGUCUCUGCCAUCAAAAGUGUCGCUGAAGUAGAAGCCUUGGACUUGAGCUGCGAAAGAAAGCCUCCACAGGCCUGUUUUCCUCUCUGCUGGUUGUACAACUACUUCACACAGUUGCAACGAUAAAGUCAGCUGACUUGCAAAACGCAUUUAGAUCACGUGAUGCGUACUCACUAAAUAAGUUGUGAUUAUCUUCAAGUCUGUGAAGUCACAGAUUAGGGCCUUCAGAUGGCUGCAGUGAGGAACCUAAGCACCCAAGAAGAGUUGGGACUUACACAAGAGCCCUGUGGUCAAGAAGAAGGCAGUCGAGGGACCAGGGUCUUGAGGCCCUUACAAUGGUUAUGUGUGGCAUUAAGAGCUUACAGGUUUCAAGGGCUUCCUGGGAGUUAGCUCAAAAAUAGCUAUCACUUCCAGUCUAUCCAAGAAGAAACUUGGACCCAGGAAAGCAAGGGCAUUUACUUAGCAAGACUGAUGUCACUUCCUUUUUCUACCAUUGUAUCCCUUCUUGUGGCCCCUGUCUGAUGCUAUGCCCAGAAAAUGAGUUCCCUUUGUAAGCAUAAUGUUUGUCAAUAAUUUUCAUCUUAAACAAAGCACCGCAGGGCAGUGGUGCAUGCCUUUAAUCCUAGCACAUAGGAGUCAGAGACAGACAGAUCUCUAUGAGUCCAAGGCCAGCCUAGUCUACAGAGCUAGUUCUAGGACAGACAAGGUUACACAAAGUAACCUGUCUCAAAAAACCUAAAUAAAUAAAUAAAAUGCCAAAAGACUCACACAACAGAAAAGAAAAAAGGCCUAAAAUAUAUUCCUCCAAAGAGCACCAUCCUUCCCUCACCCUGACUCCCUGAGAAAUCCCAGUUCCCUAGAGCAUUUGGCCAAUGUCUCCUUGGAGGCCCCUCUGAACACUGAUACUCUUCUAUUAACUCCUGAAUCAAGAAGUGUGUAUUAUGUAGGGGAGGGGACAACUCGGGUGACCCGGGGAGAGAGACUGGUACCAACACUUCUAGUAUUCAUGAACAUAGGAAUUGCUUCUACCUAGGCAAGUAGUUCAGAAAGAAGCCUUCACUGGUCAUUGGUCAAAAGCAUCACCUCAGCUCCCUAACAUCCCUUUAUACAAAAAGUCCAGAUUGUUUGGCUGGGGGGCUUCACCCCAGCUCCUGGUAUAAGCCCCCUCCCCUGAGAGUUGCCUUAGUCCAAACUCCACCUCCGAGAAAGCCCGCCAAACUGUAACCCCUUUCCAAAGAAGGUCAAGACCACCCCUACAGGCUAUUUAAACUGCCCCCAGAAAAUGAACACAGGGUCUUCCCUUCUCUCUCUUUCCCUCUCCACAUUUUUCCCUGGGCCAUCCAGGAGUAUUGCAUUAAACAUGGGCAUCUUUUA